rnacentral:tRNA from 1 species
UGGGAAGUCGUCUAGUGGCAGGACCUCGGACUCUGAAUCCGAUUACAGAGGUUCGAAUCCUCUCUUCCCAG